UACGGGGGGGGCAAGCGUUGUUCGGAAUUACUGGGCGUAAAGGGCGCGUAGGCGGUCAGAUAAGUCAGCUGUGAAAACCUCGGGCUUAACCCGAGGCCUGCAGUUGAAACUGUUUGGCUGGAGUGUGGGAGGGGAGACUGGAAUUCCUGGUGUAGCGGUGAAAUGCGCAGAUAUCAGGAGGAACACCGGUGGCGAAGGCGGGUCUCUGGGCCGAUACUGACGCUGAGGAGCGAAAGCGUGGGGAGCGAACAGG
rnacentral:rRNA from 1 species